rnacentral:rRNA from 1 species
AGAGUUUGAUCCUGGCUCAGGAUGAACGCUGGCGGCGUGCCUAAUACAUGCAAGUCGAGCGGUAAGGUUCUCACAAUUUGCUUCUUGCACCCCAGAGUCAGGUCGUCGAUUUCGUAAGAAAUCGACAUCAAAAACGAAGGAGUGAAAGCUGGUUUAACCAUCAGAUAUAGAAGGAGCAAAAUGUGAGAAUACACGAGCGGCGGACGGCUGAGUAACACGUAGGAACGUACCCCAAAGUGAGGGAUAAGCACCAGAAAUGGUGUCUAAUACCGCAUGUGCUCUUCGGAGGAAAGCUUCGGCGCUUUGGGAACGGCCUGCGCAUGAUUAGCUUGUUGGUGAGGUAAUGGCUCACCAAGGCGAUGAUCAUUAGCUGGUCUGAGAGGAUGAUCAGCCAGACUGGGACUGAGAACGGCCCAGACUCCUACGGGAGGCAGCAGUAGGGAAUUUUCCACAAUGGGCGAAAGCCUGAUGGAGCAACGCCGCGUGCAGGAUGAAGGCCUUCGGGUUGUAAACUGCUUUUAUAUGUGACGAUUAUGACGGUAGCAUAUGAAUAAGGAUCGGCUAACUCCGUGCCAGCAGCCGCGGUCAUACGGAGGAUCCAAGCGUUAUCCGGAUUUACUGGGCGUAAAGAGUUGCGUAGGUGGUUUAUUAAGCGAAUAGUGAAAUCUGGUGGCUCAACCAUCAACACAUUGUUCGAACUGGUAGACUCGAGAAUGAGAGAGGUCACUGGAAUUCCUUGUGUAGGAGUGAAAUCCGUAGAUAUAAGAAGGAACACCAAUGGCGUAGGCAGGUGACUGGCUCGUUUCUGACACUGAGGCACGAAAGCGUGGGGAGCGAACGGGAUUAGAUACCCCGGUAGUCCACGCCGUAAACGAUGGAUGCUAGCUGUUAGGAGUAUCGACCCUUCUAGUAGCGAAGCUAACGCGUUAAGCAUCCCGCCUGGGGAGUACGGUCGCAAGAUUAAAACUCAAAG